AUUGAACGCUGGCGGAAUGCUUUACACAUGCAAGUCGAGCGGCAGCGCGGGGGCAACCCUGCGGCGAGCGGCGAACGGGUGAGUAAUACAUCGGAACGUGUCCUUGAGUGGGGGAUAGCUCGGCGAAAGCCGGAUUAAUACCGCAUAAGCUCUGAGGAGGAAAGCGGGGGACUGGUAACGGCCUCGUGCUGUUGGAGCGGCCGAUGUCGGAUUAGCUAGUUGGUGGGGAAAGGCCCACCAAGGCGACGAUCCGUAGCUGGUCUGAGAGGAUGAUCAGCCACACUGGAACUGAGACACGGUCCAGACUCCUACGGGAGGCAGCAGUGGGGAAUUUGACAAUGGGGGCAACCCUGAUCCAGCCAUUCCGCGUGAGUGAAGAAGGCCU
rnacentral:rRNA from 1 species